GACUUGAUGGACAUGAGUUUGGGCAAGCUCCGGGAGUUGGUGAUGGACAUGGAAGCCUGUGUGCUGCAGUCCAUGGGGUUGCAAUGAGUCAGACACGAUUGAGCAACUGAACUGAACUGAACUUUUGUUGAAUCCCAAAGUGAGGCUUGUUUAGCUUUGGAGAAAACUGCACAACUGUGUUACAAAGUGGCUGUGCAUGUGUCCCACCAGCAGUGAGGGAGAGUUCCUGUUGUUCCUCACUUUGCAGCAGUUGAUAUUGUCAUAUAUAUGGAGUUUAGCGGUCCAAAUUGGUGUAGUGUGGUAUCUCUUAAUUUGUAAUCCCCUAGUGUUAUGAUAUUUUUAUCUAAUUUUUAUGUGAUAUUUACUAUCUGUAUAUAUCUUUUGGUCAGGAGUCUGUUCAGAUCCUUACCCAUUUUUUAUGGGGUUGUUUAUUAUGUUUUUUAUGGUCUUUGUCUAUUUUGAGUCUAAAUCCUUUAUUAGAUAUGUGCUUUACAAAUAUUUUUCUCCCAGUUUGUGGCUUGUCUUUAGACUUUCAGAAUAAGGUCUUUCAGAGUAGAAUAAUUUGAUAGAGUCUGUAAGGCAAGUUCAAGGAGCCUGGGCAGAGCUGGGUCAGAGGACCCCUGCUCGAGACCAGAAGGGGGUGUCUGGAUUUUUAGAGGGGGAUUUGGGCAGUCGACUUUCCAAUGUCCCUUUAUGUCACAGCUGGGACACAGACCUGGAAGGGGCCUUGGCUUUAGGCAUGAGCGGGCCCAAUGACCUUCUUUGCCAAAUUUGAAGUAAGGCCCAGGUGGCUUCCUGUCUUUGUUGGUUGAUGGAGGCUUGGAGCCAUGUAGAGCAGUGGCUAAAAGGUGGUGUUUGGCCUGAUCUCGUUUGGCCUUCUCUAGCUUUGCCUGUUCUUCCCUGUUGUUUAAAACCUUAAAGGCUAAAUUUAAAAGGUCUUGUUGAAGGGUUUGAGGGCCUUCUUCUGCCUUUUUUAGCUGGAUAUCAGGGGACAACUGAGAGAUAAAAUGUGUGUUAAGGACAGUGGUACCCUCUGCUGAAGUGGGGUCUAAUCUUGUAUAUUUUUGUAGGGCUUCUGUUAACCUGGCUAGAAUUUGUGCCGGGUUUUUGUCUAGUCCUUGAGUUACUAGCUUAUCAAGGAUGCUGGCUUUAUGUCCUGCCUUUUGAAGGCUCACAGUGAGGCAAGCAACCAUGUGAUUACGGGCUUCCCACCCAGGUAUCUCUGCCUGAUAAUCUCAGUUGGGAUCAUCUCUGGGGACAUGUGUAUCUCAUCAGCAUGUGCCUGAGAGGCUUACCAUACUCUUCUGGGAGAAGAGUGGAGAAAAGUAUGAUGUAAAUGUCAUGGCAGGUUAAGUCACAAGACUGGAUAAGAUACCUGAAUUCUUUUAGAUAAUUAUCUGGUAUCUGAGGAGAAGGAGCCAAGAUGCUUUUUGAUUUGAGAUAGGUCGAUGAGGGAGAAUGGGGCAUGAACCCGAACAAAACGCCUUCUGGUAAAGGGAGGAGAAGAGCAGGGAAGAGUGGGGUCCUGCUGUGAAGUUUCCUGCUUUAAAGCUGGUAUGGGGAGGGGACAUAGGGAGGUCAGGGUAGAAACUAGGGACCCUUGGGGUUGAGGGUAGGGCUGAAGUCUCAGAGUUUGCCUCCAGCACAGGCAGGGGAGGGGGCUUUGGGAGCUGCAGCUGCUGUGGCCUAUGCUUGAAAAGGAGAGGGAGGAAGGAGGGGCAUAAGGUGGAAGUUGUGGAACUGGAUCUAGAGCAGCUGCAACGGGAUUGGGAGCGAUAGAGGGAGCUCCCUUGAGAAGGGUGAGCUGUGGUCGGAAGGGUUGAAGGAAGAAGAAAAGUCUGAACAGGGAUUGGGAGACAUUGUAUUAGGAGGAUAUGGCCCAGAGUGGGCUAAGAGUAUUUGAGAGGUAGAACAGGAUUCACAGAGGGAGGAUCGAGAGCGAAGAACCAAGAAAGCCUAAACAUAAGGGAUCUCUGACCACUUGCCUUUGCGGUUGCAGAAGUUACUGAGAUCCCGUAGAGUAUUAUAAUAGAGAGUUCCGUUUUUCUGGCCAUUGGGACCUAUUAUUAAGUCUGUAUUGUGGCCAGACAGUGUUAGAAUGGUAAAUAAGUCUUUUUGGUCUUAACUCCCCUUGGAAGCCCAAGGCUUUUAGGUUUUGGAGAAGGCAUCCUAGAGGAGUAGAUUUUGAGGGCUGGGAUUGAGAAUUUCCCAUUGCGGCUGAAUAGGGUAGACAGGGGUGAGAAAGCGAGGAGAAAGGUCCGAGAGAAAAGCAAGAGGUGAGAGAGAGAGAGAGAGUGAGUGUGAGAGUGAGAGUGAGAGUGAGUCCAGCAAGUGAAGUGGAGAGUCCUGUCCUGGGGCUCGUCUCAGUUUCUUGGCAAGGUCCAAGGGAGGGGACCACCAGAGGUGGGCUUGUGAGAGGAGCCCACCCAGCUGCGGUGGAUCUUCCCUCCUGGCACCAGAAUCUAAGACAAGUGCAGAGAAAAAGAGAGUGAGCCGGGCAGUCAGGCAAGAAAAGGAAAUUUAUUAGAGGGAAAUGAGAGGGUAACUGGCCCUUGAUUAGAACCCUUUCUGACGGGGUCUUUCUUAUACCCUGCCAAUGAAAAAUUCUCCGAAGGGAAAGUUAAUUUUUAGCCUGUAGUUAGGUCCUGUGGUCACGCAGCUGGAGGUCUGGAAUCUGGUGGUCUACUAGCCUUGAGAAGGUAGGCACCAUCGGGAAAACAGAAUGUCGUUUGGGCAAUUUGGUCAGUCUCAAGGGUCACUGUGAUUUUAUUCUUUGUUUGCGAGGUCAACAUAAUGAGCCAUUUUAACCAUGAGCCCCCAUGUAGGCCCUGUCAAAGUCCACAGUAUUUUUUUCUUCUGCAUACUGGCCUUUUGUGUGUUAAAACUCAGAACUCAUGAUCUGCAGAGCAAAGCCAAGGUCAUGUAGAUUUUCUUCUGUGUUUCUGUGUAAUUUUGAUAAUUUUGCAUUUUAAAUGUCUGUUAGUAAAUUUGAGUGAAUUUGGUAUAAGUUUUACAGUUUGUGUUCACAGUCAUUUCAUUUCAUAUGGUUUCCAGUUAAUUGUUCUGUAACUUUUGGAGAAAUCAUGAGAUAUUUGUCUCUAUUUCAGUUUGGAUUUCUACCAUUUGCUGUAGAACCACCCUCGGGGCAGGGCCUGACCUGUGAGGGAGGCCGCAUCUGCACUCUCCCAUUGGCUGUCAGGGAAGGCAGAGCUCACCUCCCUGAGCCAGGGUGGGAAAGCGCGCUGUGCCCAUGGGUGUAGCUCUGCCCUCAGCUGACGGGAUCCCCAUCUCCUCAGGACCUGCUGGGGCUUCGGCUUGUGGAAUGCUGGGGUCUGAGUCCUUGCUGACAGCCUGGGCUUCAAGACAGCCCGGGGGUGAGGCCAUGCUGGUGGGAGCCUGCUCUCCUCAGGACCCACUGGGGAUUCAGCCUUAGGACCUUGUGGCGUCCAGUUCACAUGGACAGGAGCUCGGUCUCCUCGGGACCUGCCAGGAGGUAGUGGAAGGAAAAGGAUGAAGUCUUUGUAACCCACGGAUGCUGGCCACACGCUGUGUGUGAGGAAGAUGGUGCCCAGCUAAAGCUCAUCCUCCAUGUCUCCAGAGAGCACACUGAUCUCAUUCUGAGGUGGAACGGCAUCUCCUGGUCUCAUUCCCUCCCAAACAGCAAGGCUUAACACAGAAGGGAACAUUUACUAAAUUCUGGAGCAGGGAGGUGCAGGGAGUGAGGCCGGAAGACUUUUCAAGCUCACAGGUGGCCAAAGAAACCUCAAAGACUAGACAGACAUAGAUACUUGAGUAAAAAUGAAAAACAGUGCAUUAGAAAGUGCAGCAUAGAGAACUCUAGAAGGUGAACUGAAGGAGAGAGUAUGGCAAGUACUCAAGGAAGCGGACACUACUUCAGCAGCACCGUGUGCCUGACAGUUCUUCACAAACUCAAGGCCUCAUGUGGGACCCAUGACCAAAGAAACUCCUGCCAACCAGUCAUGAAGACCCAUGGGCUGAGGACUGAUGUCUAACUUAACUGAAUUUUUUAAGUCUUACAACUAUGAAAUGUAAAAAAAAAGAAGAAAAAACACACACACACAAAAAAACCAAUGGAGUUGUUCAUUAAACAGUUAUUCCAAUGUCUACUAAGACAUUUGUUCUCAUUUCUGGGCAAUGGGAAACAUGCCCCAUAGAGUCAAGAAUAAAGGACUAUAUGGUAGGAAAA